UACGUAGGGUGCGAGCGUUAAUCGGAAUUACUGGGCGUAAAGCGUGCGCAGGCGGUUUUGUAAGCCAGAUGUGAAAUCCCCGGGCUUAACCUGGGAAUGGCAUUUGGGACUGCAAGGCUGGAGUGCGGCAGAGGAGACUGGAAUUCCUGGUGUAGCGGUGAAAUGCGCAGAUAUCAGGAGGAACACCAGUGGCGAAGGCGGUGCUCUGGGCCGGAACUGACGCUGAGGAGCGAAAGCGUGGGGAGCAAACAGG
rnacentral:rRNA from 1 species